rnacentral:lncRNA from 1 species
UGCCAACCACCACAACCACCAUAUUCCUUAUAACACCAUGCACCACCUUUAAUACCAUAAUUGUCGCCACCAUUUCACCCAUACUCCAACUCAUUCCUACUAUAAAAAUUCCAGAUUUGAUAUUUCUCUGUAGCAUGCACCACCACCCACCACCACAAAAACUUACUUUCGCCCACCACCACCUCAAAACACUACAUCUAACUACAAAUUCGAACAAACAACAACACUACAAAAAGUAUAAAUAGGGAUGAAAACUGAUAGAGCUGAAGAAAGAAAACACUUACCGCUUUUAUUGUGAAUCGAAGCUUUUAUUGAGGGUUUGGCUAUGGUGGUUGGACAUGAUCUGAUCGGCCGGUAGGGGUGUGGCUGUAUCGGAGCGUAGCAGUGUUGCAGCGUGGCGGCCUUUUUUCCUUCUUUAUGCACCUAAUUGUGUACGUUUCUUAUUGAGAGGAUCUUUAUCGCUUCCAUUGUUGUUGUUGGUGAUGAAGAGAGAGAGAGAGACUAGAUCUGGGAAGAAGAAGAUUCGAUGAGGAUUGUAAGAGAGAGCAGAUGAGGAUUGUAAAAUUUGAUGAGGAAAGAGAGAGUAGGUCUUCGUUUCUAAACAUGUUUAACUGUUUUUUUUCCUUCUAAUUGUAUUAAGUAUUUUAAUUUUUUAAUGACGGUCAAAUCGUAUAAAACUAAAGAGUAAAAUACAGUGACACCCCCUCUAGAUAAUUAUAAUAACACUCACCUCCCCUCUAGUUUCUUAAGUAACAGUUAGUAUCCUGCAAGUUUUUAGGAUUGACUAAAUAGAUAAAGUUACAU